rnacentral:misc_RNA from 1 species
ACACCUCAACUCUCAUGGUUUUGCCGUGAUGAGCUUGGAUUUUGGAGGUCUUGCUGGCCCGUGGUCAGCUCCUCUCAAAUGAAUCAGCUUGCCAGUGUUUGGUGGCAUCACAGGUGUGAUAACUAUCUACGCUUGUGGCUUCCACCAGGUAACCUUCAGCAAUGGAGGUUCGCUGGAGCUCACAAAUGUCUCUCCUCAGCGAGGACAGCUUCUUGAAU